AGGGCUGCUUGUUAUGCGAGGUCGGGAUUUCGGAUUGAACUUUGCCACCCAUUUGUUACUUUAUAACGUUCCGUUUUUUGGAGGUAGUUCUACAACCUUCUAAUUCUCAGCGGCACAUGCGUCUGUAAACCCGCAGCUACAAAAUGUACAUUUGGUUUACAAUCAUAGCCGGAUUGGCUGUUUUGCCCUUUCUUCUGAAAACGUUAUUCGAUCCAUACUUUGGCCAAGACUGUUCAUAUAUCUUCAGAGCAAUCAAACUUGGAAUCAGGCUGCAAAAAUACAAAAAGAAAAAUCCUUUCUAUAGCAUUUUGGACUGCUUUUUGGACACGGUGAAGAAACAACCGAAUAAAACGUUUAUGCAUUUUGAGGGGACAUCCCAUUCUUACAUCGAGGUGGAUAAGCAGAGUAACAAGGUUGCCAGAGCAUUGAAGACUCACGCUAAUCUAAAAGAGGGGGACACGGUAGCUCUCUUUAUGGGGAACGAACCCUCUUACGCGUGGAUUUGGCUGGGCCUGGCCAAACUGGGCUGUGCAACCGCUCUGCUAAACUUCAACAUACGGUCAAAAUCUCUGCUACACUGUUUCUCAUGCUGUGGGGCCAAAGUGAUCAUCGCGGCGGCAGAGCUGAAAGAGGCAGUGGAGGAGGUUCUCCCUACACUAAAACAGCAGGGUAUCUCUGUGUACCUCUUGUCAGAGGAGUGCAGUGUAGAAGGCAUCAACCCCCUCUCAGAACAUAUCACCCAGGCCUCAGACACUCCCCUGUCAGCUGACCUCAGGGCCAACAUCACCAGCAAGAGCCCUGCGCUCUACAUCUACACCUCAGGAACCACUGGUCUACCUAAAGCGGCCCUGGUGACCCAGGAGAGGGUGUGGACUGCGUCCUUUAUCCAAGCCGUCUCAGGCGUGACGUCGGAGGAUGUGUUCUAUAUCAACCUGCCUCUCUAUCACAGCGCAGGCUUCCUCAUUGGACUCGCUGGGGCCAUCGAGAGGGGCAUAACAGUUGUUCUGAGGAGAAAGUUUUCAGCGUCUCAGUUCUGGGAGGACUGUAGGAAACAUCAUGUAACAGUGAUGCAGUACAUCGGAGAGACCAUGAGAUACCUCUGCAACACACCCAUGAAAGACAACGAGAAGGACCAUAAAGUUCGUAUUGCCAUCGGCAACGGGGUCCGUUCAGACAUCUGGAGAGAGUUUCUGAAUCGUUUUGGAGACGUAGCUGUCAGGGAACUGUACGCUGCCACCGAGGGCAACAUCGGCUUCAUCAACUACACCAGCAAGAUCGGAGUGGUUGGACGAGUCAACUUUCUCCACAGGAGACUGUUCCCCUAUACUUUGAUCAAAUUUGACAUUGAGAAGGAGGAACCUGUUAGGAACUCCAAGGGUCUGUGUAUCCAAGCAAUGAAAGGUGAGGCUGGACUUUUGGUUGGAAAGAUAACCAAGAGAUCUCCCUUUGUUGGUUACGCUGGUAACGACCAGCAGACGGAGAAGAAGAGACUGAGAGACGUUUUACAGAAAGGUGACCUGUACUUCAACACUGGAGACCUGUUGAGGAUCGAUGAACAAAACUUUGUUCAGUUUCAGGAUCGGGUUGGUGACACUUUCAGGUACGCAAUACGGUUGACAAAAUUCCCAGGUUUUCCAGAAAUGCCAGUUGGAAAAUCUGAAGGAAAUAAUCUGGAAAACCUGGGAAUUUUGGUUAAAGGUAUCAGAAUUUUCACACCCUACACAGUAUGUCACUCAGGGUUUGAAUUACACAUCUCUUGGGGCUGCAAAACAUCUCUUGGGGUUGCAAAACAUCUCUUGGGGUUGCAAAACAUCUCUUGGGGUUGCAAAACAUCUCUUGGGGUUGCAAAACAUCUCUUGGGGUUGCAAAACAUCUCUUGGGGUUGCAAAACAUCUCUUGGGGCUGCAAAACAUCUCUUGGGGCUGCAAAACAUCUCUUGGGGCUGCAAAACAUCUCUUGGGGCUGCAAAACAUCUCUUGGGGCUGCAAAACAUCUCUUGGGGCUGCAAAACAUCUCUUGGGGCUGCAAAACAUCUCUUGGGGCUGCAAAACAUCUCUUGGGGCUGCAAAACAUCUCUUGGGGCUGCAAAACAUCUCUUGGGGUUACAAAACAUCUCUUGGGGUUGCAAAACAUCUCUUGGGGUUGCAAAACAUCUCUUGGGGUUGCAAAACAUCUCUUGGGGUUGCAAAACAUCUCUUGGGGCUGCAAAACAUCUCUUGACCAACAUGGAAAUGUUUUUUGUUAUUUCAGGUGGAAAGGCGAGAAUGUUGCUACAACUGAAGUGGCAGAUAUCCUCACAAUGGUGGACUGCAUCGAGGAGGCUAAUGUAUAUGGCGUGAAAGUUGAAGGUCACGAGGGGAGGAUUGGGAUGGCUGCUGUAAAGGUAGAAGAAGGGAAAGAGUUUGACGGCGCUAGCACCUUCAGCCAAGUAGCCAGCUACCUCCCUGCUUACGCAAGACCGCGUUUCAUUAGAAUACAGACCUCCUUCGAGAUGACGGGAACAUUUAAGAUGAAGAAAGUGACGUUGGUGGAAGAGGGCUUCAACCCAGCUGUGGUCCAAGAUCCUCUGUUCUUCUUAGAUCCAGCUAAGAAAACAUACGUACCACUCACCGAAGAGAUAUACUCCUCCAUAAACACCAGAGAAAUUAAGUUAUAAAAUAAUCAUGGUAGCCAAUUAAUGUACAAAAUCUGCAUUAAUUAUUAAAUGUCUAAUGUUUAGACCUGGUUUCAAAUACUAUUUGAUUAUUUCAUAUACUUUUUCUCUUUGCAUUGAGCUUGCCUGGGUUAACGGACCAAUAGAAUAAUCCUAAAACUGCAAACCCCACCCGGCAUUUGAAAUGAUUUCCAAUAGUAUUUGGAGCAAGGUCUGCUGUUAACAGAUGACACGGGGGAAUAAUAUGGCAUAAUGAUUCUGUAGACUAACCCAUUGUCUUUGUCUACUAAUCUCAGGGAAUAGAUUUGAAUUAUAUUUUGUAACAAACCUGAUCAUGUUUAAAAUGAUGUAUUUUUGGUCUUAACCAGACUUUAUAUUGUUUACAGUAUAUUGUAGAGGGUACUAGCAUCUGAAGGUGCUUGAAAACAAACUUGAUAUUGAUAUAGUAUAUUGAUUGUACUUUUUGAAUACUUCAUAAAACUUCUAUGAACCCAAA